rnacentral:rRNA from 1 species
CCUACGGGGGGCAGCAGUGGGGGAUAUUGCACAAUGGGGGAACCCUGAUGCAGCGACGCCGCGUGGGUGAAGGAGCGUUUCGGCGCGUAAAGCCCUAUCGGCAGGGAAGAAGAUGACGGUACCUGACCACGAAGCCCCGGCUAACUGCGUGCCAGCCGCCGCGGUACUCCGUGGGGGGCAAGCGUUAUCCGGGUUGACUGGGUGUAAAGGGGGCGCAGACGGGGCUGCAAGUCAGGAGUGAAAGACCGGGGCCCAACCCCGGGACUGCCCUUGGAACUGCAUGGCUGGAGUACAGGAGGGGAAGGCGGAAUGCGUGGUGUAGCGGUGAAAUGCGUAGAUAUUAGGAGGAACCCCGGUGGCGAAGGCGGCCUGCUGGACUGUGAUUGACGUUGAGGCCCGAAGGUGUGGGGAGCAAACAGGAUUAGAUACCCCUGUAGUC